UACGUAGGGGGCUAGCGUUGUCCGGAAUCAUUGGGCGUAAAGCGCGUGUAGGCGGUCCGGUAAGUCCGCUGUGAAAGUCGGGGGCUCAACCCUCGGAUGCCGGUGGAUACUGUCGGGCUUGAGUACGGAAGAGGCGAGUGGAAUUCCUGGUGUAGCGGUGAAAUGCGCAGAUAUCAGGAGGAACACCAAUUGCGAAGGCAGCUCACUGGCCCGAUACUGACGCUGAGGCACGAAAGCGUGGGGAGCAAACAGG
rnacentral:rRNA from 1 species